rnacentral:rRNA from 1 species
UACAGAGGUGGCAAGCGUUGUUCGGAAUUACUGGGCGUAAAGGGCGCGUAGGCGGCCCGUCAAGUCCCGUGUGAAAGCCCCCGGCUCAACCGGGGAACUGCACGGGAAACUAGCAGGCUUGAGUUCGGGAGAGGGAAGCGGAAUUUCGGGUGUAGCGGUGAAAUGCGCAGAUAUCCGAAGGAACACCGGUGGCGAAGGCGGCUUCCUGGACCGACACUGACGCUGAGGCGCGAAAGCCAGGGGAGCAAACGGG